AUGGGCUGUGCUGCUGGGAGAUCUGUCAGAAAGGGCUUUUUAGAAAACUUCAUGGCCCUUGUGAACCUUCUUUUCAUAUUUGCAUCCGAUGGAUUGUUGGUUUUGGGGUAUGUGUUUUUUUUUUGUUCGUUUUUUUUUUUUUUUGCUUCAGGUGUUAGAGGUCUAGUGUUCAAAUCCGUAACGAGUCCCCUUGCAGCUUCGAAACCACUUUUUUUUAAGGAGCGGCCUUUCGUCCUGCUUUUUUUGGCACAAUUUCAAGCAUUGUUAGGUACUUGUUGUCUAUCGAUAUCGACGUCUCGUACUUCUACUUGGUCUAUUACCUGCGGGUUGCGUUAGGUUAAACCGUUAGCUCGGUCGGUUAUGGUCUUGUGCCCCAAUGCCGAAAUAGCUCAGUUGGGAGAGCGUUAGACUGAAGAUCUAAAGGUCCCUGGUUCGAUCCCGGGUUUCGGCAGUGCGGAGCCUGCUGUCCUUUUUGGUCUACAU
rnacentral:lncRNA from 1 species